CCUACGGGUGGCUGCAGUGGGGAAUAUUGCACAAUGGGGGAAACCCUGAUGCAGCGCCGCCGCGUGAGUGAAGAAGUAUCUCGGUACGUAAAGCUCUAUCAGCAGGGAAGAAAAUGACGGUACCUGACUAAGAAGCCCCGGCUAACUACGUGCCAGCAGCCGCGGUCAUCCGUAGGGGGCAAGCGUUAUCCGGAUUUACUGGGUGUAAAGGGAGCGUAGACGGCAGCACAAGUCUGGAGUGAAAGCCCGGGGCUUAACCCCGGAACUGCGUUGGAAACUGUGCGGCUGGAGGGCAGGAGGGGUAAGCGGAAUUCCUAGUGUAGCGGUGAAAUGCGGAGAUAUUAGGAGGAACACCGGUGGCGAAGGCGGCUGACUGGACUGUAACUGACGUUGAGGCUCGAAAGCGUGGGGAGCAAACAGGAUUAGAUACCCCUGUAGUC
rnacentral:rRNA from 1 species